AUCACUUCUCAGCCUUUUGGCUAAGAUCGAGUGUAGUAUCUGUUCUUAUCAGUUUAAGAUUAGAUGUCACAAAGUGCAUAGGGCAUCAUGUACCAUCA
rnacentral:snRNA from 1 species